UCUUGUAUUGCAUAGCUAGUCUAUUUUUUCCUCUUGGAAUCUGUUUUAAUUUAGAUCCUGAUUCAUAUUUCAUUCAUUCUUCCAAACCACAAAACCAGAUUGAUUUACAGCACAUACUAUUUGGGUGUGAGUCUCUGGAGGAACAGAUAAGCAAAAAGAAGCACAGAGAAAGCAGAAUGCAUCUUGUCUUUCGUUCUAGGAAAAACUUAAGAAACAUUUAUCAGUAAUUCACCAGAACUGCUAACGUACAUUGUAUUAUGUAUUUUACAGAAUACAGUAAGUUGGUACAGUAGAAAGAGUUCUUUUGACGUAUUCCUACAAAUAAAGCUUUCUAAAUUCACGUGGGAGAAAGCCAUUCUUAUUAUUCAACACAUUUAACCUCUUACUCUAAGGAAUUUCCCCAAAGUGCAUCCCCCAAGCGGAAACGGUGACCAUAAGCAAUUGGUGGAGCUUUAGAGAAUCCACAAAAAUCCCCAAUCUGUGGUUUAGCUAUAUUGUCAGCUUCUGAUGCAGCUUUUCUAUAACUAGAAACUGCUGAGACUCAACAGCACAGGAAGAACAGUCAUAUAGUGCAAACUGCUUAACGGUUACAGAACCCCAGGGUACUGAAAUUAAAUUCUGAUGUCAUUCACAGCUUAACCAAUCAUCAAGCAGUUCAAACGUUUACACUACAACAAGCUCCACAGCAGCAAAUGUGACUAGUAUGUGCCAAGACUGAUACUGAUACCAAGCAAAACAAAUAAAUACAUGAAAAGGUGUCCAGUUGGUAAGAAGAGAUGCUCCUGUCAUUUGUUGGAUUUAAUUGGUCAAGCAACUGAUAAGUCCCGCCUAUUUACAAAUGUCAAAAACUUCUAUCUCUUGUAGCAGCUGCCAUUAUAGUUUAGGUCUUCAUGCUUUAUAUCUAUAUGUGCAUGCAUACUUCAUAUUUAUUUCUCUAUUUAUUUCAAAAUAAGUUUAAGGAAAUGAAUUUUGAACCUUCACCUUGCACAGCUUUAUCAUACUGCCCAGAUCCACACAUCCAACGUGCCAAUAUGGACUUGUGAAAUGAAGACAGC